rnacentral:rRNA from 1 species
UUUCCAGACUCCUACGGGAGGCAGCAGUGGGGGAUAUUGCACAAUGGGGGGAACCCUGAUGCAGCGACGCCGCGUGGGUGAAGGAGUAUUUCGGUAUGUAAAGCCCUAUCGGCAGGGAAGAAGAAAGACGGUACCUGACUAAGAAGCCCCGGCUAACUACGUGCCAGCAGCCGCGGUAAUACGUAGGGGGCGAGCGUUAUCCGGAUUCACUGGGUGUAAAGGGAGCGUAGACGGCCAAGCAAGCCAGGGGUGAAAGCCCGGGGCCCAACCCCGGGACUGCCCUUGGAACUGCAUGGCUGGAGUGCGGGAGGGGCAGGCGGAAUUCCUGGUGUAGCGGUGAAAUGCGUAGAUAUUAGGAGGAACACCAGUGGCGAAGGCGUCUUACUGGACCGAAACUGACGUUGAGGCUCGAAAGCGUGGGGAGCAAACAGGAUUAGAUACCCGGGUAAU